GACCCAUGAAUUUUGACCCAUUUU
rnacentral:siRNA from 1 species